ACUUUACUUGCUCACCUUUUAGCCAUUGCCUUGUGACAAGCAUCACAACUUGAGUAUCUGAUUUACUCUCUCUUUGCCCUCCACGGAUAUCAUGAUUUUACUGAACAAACACAUUUUCAACACAGUCGUUUUCCCAACAUUCCUAAUCUCCACAGAUGGAAAAAAUCUUUUCCUGCAUUGUUUUUUUUUUAGCUUCCCACCCUCAUGGUCAGAAUUUAGCCAAGCAUGACCCAAUAGAAACAUAAUACAACCACACGCACACAUACAAAAAGCCUAGUAUACGCACAGUAUGAAGAAACAUGUAAAAUUAAUUUUAAUUGUAUACUGUUCUUAAACCAAUGUUUCCAAAAUAUUCUGGACAUGGCUGAAAAUUCCUCUGCUAUUACUUAUGGUACGUUUCAUCCAUACCAAGCUUAACAAGGAAAUUUAUGGUGUAUAAGUAGCUUGAAACGUCAGAAAACUGAGGAAACUGAAUUACAAAUAGAACAAAAUGUAUUUUCAGCCACCCUGAUAAAAAUAAGGUUUUUUAAACAGGAAUCAGCUGAGAUGUAGAAUGUAGAAUGCCACUUUUCUUUCGCAAGAGCAAAGAGAUUAAUACCUAACACACUAUUAGCAAGAGAAAAUUUGAGUUUUUUUAUUAUAAUACAAUUAUUUUUUGAUAUGCCAGUGAAGUGCUCAUUUAUUUUCUUUGAAGUAAUUUCAAUAAAAAUAAUUACAGAAUAUGGCUCUCAAAAAACCUCGUAAUAAUAAUGACAUGACUUGAAACAUGCAAAUGAUAACAAAUUAUACUUUUUAUUAUCACUUCACAUUUUUCACAUAUAUUGUCAGUAUUUUAAUGGCAUUUUUGGGAAGUUGCAGGUAUGCCUUUUACUACUUUCUUCUGCUCUUAAGGCAAUUGACAACAGCAGCUUCUUUGUGACUCUGCUUUGAAAAAUUACAAAACUCCAUCUUGUAGCCAUAAUUUCCACAGGUCCAUUAGCAGUAUCCUUUGGCAACACAAAUUUUAUGCUUUAUCUUUCAAACUAAAUUUGUGCUACCUUUCCUGUUAAUAUAUCAAGAUAUAAUAUUUGACAGAAAAAAUUCCAACUAAAUAGAGACUGCCAAAACCCACAGAUCUGGUUUCCUAGUAGCAGUUGAACCUCAUAAGAAAAUUGUGGGAUUAAAAUAAAAUAAAAGAUACUACAACAAUACCAACAAAAUACUAUACUCAGAAAUAGGGGUGUCUCAAUUUUAAGACAUGUUAUUAUUGAGGAUUGAAAAUAUAUAUGAAAAUUCUGGAGUUCCUGCUGUGGCACUGGGGGUUAAGAAUUCAACUGAAGCAGCUUGGGUUGGAUCCUUGGCCCAGUGGGUUAAAGGAUCUGGCAUUGUUGCAGCUGAGGCAUAGGUUGCACCUACAGCUCAGAUCCAGUCCCCUGGCUUGGGAACUUCCAUGUGCCAUAGGUAUGGCCACUAAAACAAACAAACAAAUAUAGAGAGAGACACAUAUAUGUAUAUACAUGUGAAAAUUCUAUAUAAAAUGUGUAUGGGUAUUUUAUCUACCUCUAAAACUGAAAGGAAAAGGCAAAUUUACAAGUGGGAGGAAGAGGACUGUCAGCUAGAGGCAUCUUCCUUACCUUGAUAAUGCCUGAGGGGAAAGGAAAAUGAAAAAAUUGUCGUGUCAAAAUUAUUUGCAAACAUGCUGAUCAAUCAUUAUGUUAGUUUCCAAUAGAGGGAGAGAAGGAGAGUUUUAAUCUAUGGGAUGCGUCUAGCAUGAUGCUCUUGGGCCCUGGCCUUCUUAUGAUAAACCUGGAGUUGAGAUUAGGGGGCAUGGCCCCGGCAUGCUGGAGUUGGCUCAGAUUGGCACUCUGAGCACAGACUACGCACAUUCCUUUCUUACUCCAAAUCCAGUGACACUACACUGGUAGCUCAUAAUCACCCAUAACAUCACAAAAAUUAGCACAAACAGAGAGACAAUUUUUUGUUGUUGUUGUUGUCUUUUUGCCUUUUCUAGGUCCGCUCUGUGGCAUAUGGAGAUUCCCAGGCUAGGGGUCUAAUUGGAGCUGUAGCCACCGGCCUACACCACAGCCACAGCAACACAGGAUCCAAGCUGCAUCUGCUGUGAUGUAUCACAGCUCACGGCAACGCCAGAUCUUUAACCCACUGAGCAAGGCCAGAGAUCGAACCUGCAACCUCAUGGUUUCUAGUCGGAUUCGUUAACCACUGCACCACAAUGCAAACUCCAAGCCAAUUGUUAAACAUAUCACGCAUGUCAUUUCCGUUUCCCCCUUUUAUUUGGUUCUAGUGUAAAGAAACACCCCAUCUUUAAAGAGUUCCUCCCCCAUUUUUGUCUGAACCAAAACAUACAUCUUCCCUUAGGUCAUGUUUCUCACGUGACAUCCAGAGACUUUGCUAAUCUUCCUGCAGCCCAUGCUUCAAAUCUCCACUGGAGCUAGAAAAUGUCAAGUUCAUUUUUAUAGUCAUUGGAGUAGAAAAUGGAGAUGGUGCAAGUCCAAAAUCACUCCCUCUCUG
rnacentral:lncRNA from 1 species